rnacentral:pre_miRNA from 1 species
CACUUAGGGCCUGAUCCAAAGUCCAUUGAAAUCAAUUGAAAGACUCCCACUGAUUUCACUGGGCUUUGGAUCAGGCCCUUAAAUG